CUUUCAAAGCAGCCAACUCAAUCUUAAUAGGUGAAAUUCUGCAGAUUCCCCAACUUUCCCAGACUGCCUUCUCAAUGUUGGUGUAUCACAUGGGCUAUGAAAAUCUCAGGUUGGAAGACUACAGAGCAAUAUGCAUGGAAGGAGAUACAAAAUGGCAGUCAAGAUAUCUUAUGGAAUCCUUACCACCCUUGUGCUGCCAUGGAGCCCCAGAACUCCUGCUAAUAGAGGCCAACUUGGAUUUUCCGACCCUGGGGGAUGCGCCCUUUGCCAGCUGGACAAGCUGAACCCAUGAGCUGUCCAGGGUCUUGAUUUCCCGCUUUCUCUUCCUUUUUCGAAAAUGGCAGUUGCUUAUCCACGAAGUGUGUUUCGCCAGAGGAUAUUUUUUCACCCACCACCCUACUCAAUUUAGCCUGCCUGAUUAAACCCAGCCAAAUCGAUAAAAUCACCUUUGUUCGUCAGGGCUUUCGGCUGUUACCUGGCUCCAGCUUGGCAAACAGGUACCACCAGACUUUUCUUUCAAACUGGUUGCCUCCGUAACUCGCUUUGGCACUCAAGGCCCAAGCAUUUGACUCCCUUUUCAGUGAACCGUGCACUUUUUGGAGCAAAAUAUGAGUCUUCUGUGUAUAUUUUCCUAUACGGCU
ensembl:lncRNA